ensembl:misc_RNA
CUGGUGGUUCUGGAGGCUGCAGUCCCUUGUUUAUCCAUAGGACAGGUACAUCAUGGGCAGCAGAAGGGCAAUCUCCUCAAUACAUUUCUCAGCCCUGACUCUAGGAAUGAGUAGUUUAGUCUCCAUGACCACACAGUCUUGGGUCGCU